rnacentral:lncRNA from 1 species
GCUUAUGAUUGAUGAGGAUGCUUAUGCAUUGCUUUGCCAAGGCUGAGUGCAUGCUUAACACCUAGGGUGUUACAUAUCCGAUCAUGCUCUCACAGCUCCCACUUACUGAGGCUUAGAGGAAGAAUUGAUCCAUACAUUACCACUCAAAUGAAUGGUACUCAUACUAUUGCACGCCGUAUGAGCGACGAAAUAGAAAUAUGAUGCAUUAACCCCCAAGUCAGUACUUAACUAGCCACCUUAGAGUCCUUAACUGGGCAUAAAGGAUAUGACCACGGCACACUAGAUAGUUUUCCAAAAACUUAGUUUAACACGUUGAUUAUCAUUAAUUAAUAAUAAUCUUUUAUUAUACGGGUUUAAGCUUAGUUAGAACGUACUUAUGAACAAUAACUCGCUAAACCUUGCUCCGAUGCUAGCUGUA